GCGCGUCCCUCCUAUAGGGUCUCUAUAUUGUGAAACACUGCCAAACAUUGUGUAAGAGCGUUAAAUGGAAAGCGUAGUUGUCUCAAAAUAACGCUAGAAUGCAUUUUUAUCGCUCUUAAUAUUUAUCUAAAUCUAAUUUAUAAACAUAUCCUUCCAAUAAGUUGAAUUACUUUGACAAUUUGCAGGUCAAUAAAUAAUUGUUUUGUAAUAAUAAUAAUUUUGUUUAAUAAUAAUUAUUUGAACCAACUAUUAUUUCAAAAUAGAAGAAAAUAGAGUUAUUUUCACUCCGGUUCUUACUCUACCUGUUUUCUAACACUCUGACAUGGCCUUACAAAUUCAGGUAUAUCUCCGAAAAUAUUUAUCGGAUUAGCCUCAAAUUUUCAGAGAAUAUACUUAAAUAUAUGUACAUUCC